rnacentral:rRNA from 1 species
UACGUAGGGUGCGAGCGUUAAUCGGAAUUACUGGGCGUAAAGCGUGCGCAGGCGGUUCGUUAAGUUCGUUGUGAAAGCCCCGGGCUCAACCUGGGAAUGGCAAUGGAAACUGGCGAGCUUGAGUGUGGCAGAGGGGGGUGGAAUUCCGCGUGUAGCAGUGAAAUGCGUAGAGAUGCGGAGGAACACCGAUGGCGAAGGCAGCCCCCUGGGCCAAUACUGACGCUCAUGCACGAAAGCGUGGGGAGCAAACAGG